AUUGAACGCUGGCGGCAUGCUUUACACAUGCAAGUCGAGCGGUAACAGGCCUUCGGGUGCUGACGAGUGGCGAACGGGUGAGUAAUGCAUCGGAACGUACCCAGAGGUGGGGGAUAACGCAGCGAAAGCUGUGCUAAUACCGCAUGUGAUCUGAGGAUGAAAGCGGGGGACCGCGCAGCAAUGUUUGGCCUCGCGCCUUUGGAGCGGCCGAUGUCGGAUUAGCUAGUUGGUGGGGUAAAGGCCUACCAAGGCGACGAUCCGUAGCUGGUCUGAGAGGACGACCAGCCACACUGGGACUGAGACACGGCCCAGACUCCUACGGGAGGCAGCAGUGGGGAAUUUUGGACAAUGGGCGCAAGCCUGAUCCAGCAAUGCCGCGUGCGGGAAGAAGGCCUUCGGGUUGUAAACCGCUUUUGGCAGGAACGAAACGGUGUCCGCUAAUACCGGGCGCUAAUGACGGUACCUGCAGAAUAAGCACCGGCUAACUACGUG
rnacentral:rRNA from 1 species